AUACGGAGGGUGCAAGCGUUGUUCGGAAUCACUGGGCGUAAAGGGCGCGCAGGCGGCUUGGUAAGUCAGAUGUGAAAGCCCACGGCUUAACCGUGGAAGUGCAUUUGAAACUGCCUGGCUUGAGUACCAGAGGGGAAGGUGGAAUUCCCGGUGUAGAGGUGAAAUUCGUAGAUAUCGGGAGGAAUACCGGUGGCGAAGGCGUACUUUCUGGCUGAGUACUGACGCUGAGGCGCGAAAGCGUGGGGAGC
rnacentral:rRNA from 1 species